rnacentral:rRNA from 1 species
AGAGCGAACGCUGGCGGCAGGCCUAACACAUGCAAGUCGAGCGCCCGUAGCAAUACGGGAGCGGCAGACGGGAUAGUAACACGUGGGAACGCGCCCUUCGGUUCGGAAUAACUCAGGGAAACUUGAGCUAAUACCGGAUACGCCCUUACGGGGAAAGAUUUAUUGCCGAAGGAACGGCCCGCGUCCGAUUAGCUAGUUGGUGAGGUAAUGGCUCACCAAGGCGACGAUCGGUAGCUGGUCUGAGAGGAUGACCAGCAUCACUGGGACUGAGACACGGCCCAGACUCCUACGGGAGGCAGCAGUGGGGAAUAUGGACAAUGGGCGCAAGCCUGAUCCAGCCAUGCCGCGUGGAUGAUGAAGGCCUUAGGGUUGUAAAGUCCUUUUAACGGGGAAGAUAAUGACGGUACCCGUAGAAUAAGCCCGGACUAACUUCGUGCCAGCAGCCGC